rnacentral:rRNA from 1 species
CUGCGGCAGCGACGCUGAUGCGUUGUUGGGUAGGGGAGCGUUCUGUAAGCCUGCGAAGGUGGCCUGUGAGGGUUGCUGGAGGUAUCAGAAGUGCGAAUGCUGACAUAAGUAACGAUAAAGCGGGUGAAAAGCCCGCUCGCCGGAAGACCAAGGGUUCCUGUCCAACGUUAAUCGGGGCAGGGUGAGUCGACCCCUAAGGCGAGGCCGAAAGGCGUAGUCGAUGGGAAACGGGUUAAUAUUCCCGUACUUGGUGUUACUGCGAAGGGGGGACGGAGAAGGCUAUGUUGGCCGGGCGACGGUUGUCCCGGUUUAAGCGUGUAGGUGUGUGUUCCAGGUAAAUCCGGUUCACUUUAACACUGAGGCGUGAUGACGAGGCACUACGGUGCUGAAGCAACAAAUGCCCUGCUUCCAGGAAAAGCCUCUAAGCAUCAGGUAACAUCAAAUCGUACCCCAAACCGACACAGGUGGUCAGGUAGAGAAUACCAAGGCGCUUGAGAGAACUCGGGUGAAGGAACUAGGCAAAAUGGUGCCGUAACUUCGGGAGAAGGCACGCUGACAUGUAGGUGAAGUGAUUUACUCAUGGAGCUGAAGUCAGUCGAAGAUACCAGCUGGCUGCAACUGUUUAUUAAAAACACAGCACUGUGCAAACACGAAAGUGGACGUAUACGGUGUGACGCCUGCCCGGUGCCGGAAGGUUAAUUGAUGGGGUCAGCGCAAGCGAAGCUCCUGAUCGAAGCCCCGGUAAACGGCGGCCGUAACUAUAACGGUCCUAAGGUAGCGAAAUUCCUUGUCGGGUAAGUUCCGACCUGCACGAAUGGCGUAAUGAUGGCCAGGCUGUCUCCACCCGAGACUCAGUGAAAUUGAACUCGCUGUGAAGAUGCAGUGUACCCGCGGCAAGACGGAAAGACCCCGUGAACCUUUACUAUAGCUUGACACUGAACAUUGAGCCUUGAUGUGUAGGAUAGGUGGGAGGCUUUGAAGUGUGGACGCCAGUCUGCAUGGAGCCGACCUUGAAAUACCACCCUUUAAUGUUUGAUGUUCUAACGUGGACCCGUAAUCCGGGUUGCGGACAGUGUCUGGUGGGUAGUUUGACUGGGGCGGUCUCCUCCUAAAGAGUAACGGAGGAGCACGAAGGUUGGCUAAUCCUGGUCGGACAUCAGGAGGUUAGUGCAAUGGCAUAAGCCAGCUUGACUGCGAGCGUGACGGCGCGAGCAGGUGCGAAAGCAGGUCAUAGUGAUCCGGUGGUUCUGAAUGGAAGGGCCAUCGCUCAACGGAUAAAAGGUACUCCGGGGAUAACAGGCUGAUACCGCCCAAGAGUUCAUAUCGACGGCGGUGUUUGGCACCUCGAUGUCGGCUCAUCACAUCCUGGGGCUGAAGUAGGUCCCAAGGGUAUGGCUGUUCGCCAUUUAAAGUGGUACGCGAGCUGGGUUUAGAACGUCGUGAGACAGUUCGGUCCCUAUCUGCCGUGGGCGCUGGAGAACUGAGGGGGGCUGCUCCUAGUACGAGAGGACCGGAGUGGACGCAUCACUGGUGUUCGGGUUGUCAUGCCAAUGGCACUGCCCGGUAGCUAAAUGCGGAAGAGAUAAGUGCUGAAAGCAUCUAAGCACGAAACUUGCCCCGAGAUGAGUUCUCCCUGAGACUUUAGGUCUCCUGAAGGAACGUUGAAGACGACGACGUUGAUAGGCCGGGUGUGUAAGCGCAGCGAUGCGUUGAGCUAACCGGUACUAAUGAACCGUGAGGCUUAACCUUACA